rnacentral:tRNA from 1 species
GGCGGGCUGGCGUAAUUGGUAAACGCAAGCGACUGUUAAUCGUUCAUUCAGCAACUGGGUUUGGAUGGGGCGCAGCCCGGUUACGGCUGUCGUCCACGCGAUCUGGGUCCUCAGAAUUUCCAGGUUCGAGUCCUGGGCCCGCCG